rfam:Apaloderma vittatum contig1421, whole genome shotgun sequence.
GGGCCAGUCAGCUCACUCAGUUGAGCAUAGCGCUAACAACGCUACAGUUGUGGGUUCGAUUCCCGUUCGGUCCC